CAGCAGCCGCGGGAAUACGAAGGGGGCUAGCGUUGUUCGGAAUUACUGGGCGUAAAGCGCACGUAGGCGGACAUUUAAGUCAGGGGUGAAAUCCCGGGGCUCAACCUCGGAACUGCCUUUGAUACUGGGUGUCCCGAGUCCGGAAGAGGUAAGUGGAACUGCGAGUGUAGAGGUGAAAUUCGUAGAUAUUCGCAAGAACACCAGUGGCGAAGGCGGCUUACUGGUCCGGUACUGACGCUGAGGUGCGAAAGCGUGGGGAGCAAACAGGAUUAGAUACCCCGGUAGUCCCUGUCUCUUAUAC
rnacentral:rRNA from 1 species